rnacentral:rRNA from 1 species
AGUGAACGCUGGCGGUAGGCCUAACACAUGCAAGUCGAACGGCAGCACAGUAAGAGCUUGCUCUUACGGGUGGCGAGUGGCGGACGGGUGAGGAAUACAUCGGAAUCUACUUUUUCGUGGGGGAUAACGUAGGGAAACUUACGCUAAUACCGCAUACGACCUACGGGUGAAAGCAGGGGAUCUUCGGACCUUGCGCGAUUGGAUGAGCCGAUGUUGGAUUAGCUAGUUGGCGGGGUAAAGGCCAACCAAGGCGACGAUCCGUAGCUGGUCUGAGAGGAUGAUCAGCCACACUGGAACUGAGACACGGUCCAGACUCCUACGGGAGGCAGCAGUGGGGAAUAUUGGACAAUGGGCGCAAGCCUGAUCCAGCCAUACCGCGUGGGUGAAGAAGGCCUUCGGGUUGUAAAGCCCUUUUGUUGGGAAAGAAAAGCAGCAGGUUAAUACCCCGCUGUUCUGACGGUACCCAAAGAAUAAGCACCGGCUAACUUCGUG